GACGAACGCUGGCGGCGUGCUUAACACAUGCAAGUCGAACGAUGAAGCUGGAGCUUGCUCCAGUGGAUUAGUGGCGAACGGGAGAGUAACACGUGAGCAAUCUGCCCUUGACUCAGGGAUAACUGCGGGAAACUGUAGCUAAUGCCGGAUAUGACACAUUGGGGCAUCCCGAGGUGUGGAAAGAAUUUCGGUCUAGGACGAGCUCGCGGCCGAUCAGCUUGUUGGUGAGGUAACGGCUCACCAAGGCGACGACGGGUAGCCGGCCUGGGAGGGUGACGAGCCACACUGGGACUGGGACACGGUCCAGACUCCUACGGGAGGCAGCAGUGGGAAAUAUGGCACAAUGGGCGAGAGCCUGAGGCAGCAACGCCGCGUGAGGGAUGACGGCCUUCGGUUUGUAAACCGCUUUUAGCAGGGAAGAAGCGAAAGUGACGGUACCUGCAGAAAAAGCACCGGCUAACUACGUGCCAGCAGCCGCGGUAA
rnacentral:rRNA from 1 species